AACUUUCCAAAAUCGACGUGUUUGCAGUGUAAACAUCCCGAAGACCAUCUUCCGUACAUUUUAAUCGCUGUCAAACAAAGAACUUUUCCAUUUUACAAUCGUUCUGGUGCGGAAAAGUUCAACCUAAGCCCAUCCUGCGAGUGCUGGUGACAAGGGGGAAAGAAUCCCGUUUGAACCCCCAGGAGGAAUUACUCCAGCAUCGAUUUUCCCCCCUCGAAGCAUCCAGAACGCGCAAGUUGGGAGGGAAAAACGCCGAGCUUUCCCUUUGGGAUCCCUUCAUUCACAAAAAAAGACGAACGACUAACGAAGGGGGAAAGUGUGAAAAAGUACGGCACAUUAUUGUAGGCAAUUUUGCCGGAAAAUGAGGAAAAGUGCCCCAAAACAUUGUGCACAGUGAAAAAUUAUCGAUUUGUUAUUCAAAAAUACAAUUUCACAUGGUUUCUAAUCAAAACAUUACGAGUUUCUGGAACUGUUUGAGUGAUUAACCCAAAAAAAACAUUCAAUUCUUUUUCUCAGUGCAUUCCGCCUCAGGUUGUCAAAAUCGGCAAAGUCAUGCACAGGCUCGUGCGCUAGAACGCUACUUUCUAACGUUUUGUUGAUGUUUUGCUCGGCAUUUCUCCGCGCCACCCACUCUCUUCGCGUCACGUCGCGUGAGUGCGCUCUCUCUCGCAUAUUUCUCCCCACAAGUGAGCGUCUGUAUUAGUGAGAGCUUUCUCUCGCUCUCGGUGUAUUAGUGAGUGUUUUGGGUUCAAUGCGGGGGGGACUCAUUGAUUAGAUUAGGAGGGUAAUCUCGACGAGUUUUUUUUUUAUUUUGGAAAAAGGAAAAGAAGGUGUAUGUUUGCGACACCUCGCCACUUAUGCUGGCUUUGAAGAAGGAAAAACCGGAGAGGAUGAGGUGGUGAAUGUUUACUAGUAGCUGGAGCACCUAACCCUCUUGCGACACACUCCUGGGAGUGUAUUUGUGUGCGUGAAGGAGCGCAGUGAAUGAUGGUCAACAAAGAAAUUCAAUUAAAAGAAGAAUAAAGCAGAAAAGUUUUUCUCCCGGCGUGCAAUUUAUGUAGGCAAAGGGGAGAGGAUUUCCACGGAAAACAACAGUGAACAUUUUUGCACACGGGCAAUUUGUCAGACACAAAGUUUCGCUGCUGUGCUGUGUCCGGAGAAAAGUGCAGGAGCAGAAUUGUGGAACUUGAUCCAGUGAUGAUCUCUGGCCAACAUCAACCAUCAUCCAGCGGCAGCAGUUUGAAAGGUAUGCGUUCAAUUAUUUCAACAACUUAUC